UCUCACUCCUCUCAGGAUAAACUGUCAUUAAAAUUGACUUUAAAUUUAGCUUCAACACGAGAUAAAAACAUUUACUUUCAUUACUGAUAUUGUCAAGUUUUAAUAAAGUUCAUGCUACUUUUAUAAAAUGAUGAAAGUGAAUAAAUUGUAUUUCUGUGAUCUGUGUUUGAUUUCUGUCUUUUCUCCUGUCAUCCAGAUGUUCAGAGGGAGAUGAUGCCACAUCUGGUCCAGCUGAUGGAAGGUCUUGAAGUUCUCUGACUGGCCUCGACUGAAGAUGGUCGUCUCACUGGAUUUAAGGUUCAGAUGCUCAGUAACAAACUCCACUAAUGAGCCAACAGGGAAGCUUUAGGUUUAUUAAAUGUUGCUAUGAAAGUAUCGCUGUUUUUCUUUGUGAAUGCAAUGUGCUUGAACUUGGAAGUAAAUUCUUACAUCUGAAAGGAUUUAGUUGCAUCAAGAACCUCAUUUCUUCUCUGGAGAUGCACAAUGAGGGACGUCUGCAGCGACUGAGAAAGAGUCUCACCACAUCCUGACAUGAGGAAAAAGACUUUAUUGAAGACUACAAUGAGAAAAACUAUCAGACAGCAGACGGCUGCAUUCAAGUCUGUAGAUGCUGAAUUCAUGGAUGAAUCAUCUGGCACUAGAGAGGAAGACCAUCAAACAUCCAUGUCAGCUGAUGGAGGUCCAAGAGUCUCACCCAACAAACAACCUGCAGAGCGAAGACCUCGAGUCUGAUUGGACGGCCUCCUAUUCAGCCACAUGUGUGAACAAAUGCCUCUAAGCUGAUUUGUUUUCUAAAAUAAAUCUAGUUUGAGUCCUAA